AACUGCUUAGAGGUUAAACCCGAUGAAACUAAAUAUCUAAUAUGAAAAAUUCAUCACUAAUAAUAUAUUAAAAUUUUAUUUUAUAUUAUUUAAUAUAUGAAUAGUGUGCAUUUUUUUCAUAUAUAGACAUUGUAAUCUGUUAAUAAAUAUAUAAAUUUAUCAUAAGAUCUGUUUGAUUUAUAGUUUAUUCAUUAUUUAAUUAAAUUUAUUUUUAAUUAAAUUGAAUAAAAAAUCAAUUAAAAUGCAGUAUCGGAUAAAUUAUUGACAGAUUUUUAAUAUAUAACGUAUACAUACAUAUGUAUGUUAUAAUAUAAAUUAUGAUUAUAUUCAUUAAUUUAUAUUUAUAUACGUUUAUAUGAUUAACAAUGCGAUAGAUUUAGUAUACCUUCGGGA
rnacentral:rRNA from 1 species